UACGGAGGGGGCAAGCGUUGUUCGGAAUUACUGGGCGUAAAGUGUGCGCAGGCGGCAGAGCAAGUCGAGUGUGAAAGCCCCGGGCUUAACUUGGGAAUUGCGCUCGAAACUACUUUGCUGGAGUGUGGCAGAGGAAGGUGGAAUUCCACGUGUAGCGGUGAAAUGCGUAGAGAUGUGGAGGAACACCAAUGGCGAAGGCAGCCUUCUGGGCCAACACUGACGCUCAUGCACGAAAGCGUGGGGAGCAAACAGG
rnacentral:rRNA from 1 species